GACGAACGCUGGCGGCGUGCUUAACACAUGCAAGUCGAACGGUGAAGCGCCUUCCUUUUUGGUGGGUGUGGAUGAGCGGCGAACGGGUGAGUAACACGUUAGUAACCUGCCCCCUUCUUCUGGAUAACCGCAUGAAAGUGUGGCUAAUACGGGAUAUUCUGGGUCUGUCGCAUGAUGGGUCUGGGAAAGAUAUUGUUUCGGUGGGGGAUGGGCUCGCGGCCUAUCAGCUUGUUGGUGGGGUGAUGGCCUACCAAGGCGAUGACGGGUAGCCGGCCUGAGAGGGUGGACGGCCCCACUGGGGCGGAGCCGCCGCGCAGCCUCCUACGGGGGGCAGCAGGGAAGAAUAUUGCACAGUGGGCGGAAGCAUGGUGCAGCGACGCGGCGGGGGGGAUGGUGGCCUUCGGGUUGUGAACUUCUUUCGCCAGUGAAGCAGGCCUGCCUCGUUUGUGGGUGGGUUGACGGUAGCUGGAUAAGAAGCGCCGGCUAACUACGUG
rnacentral:rRNA from 1 species